AAAUUUCAAAUUGCGCUCUCUUGUGCUUCCGGUUCUCAUCUGGGCUUUCGCUCUCUCCCUCCUGCUCGUCGCCGAAAUCGCCAUGGCUCCCGCCUCCCGCCCGCCGACGGCGACGCCGCUGGCCGCAUCCUCGUCCCGGAUAGACUCGCCAUCGCUGAAGGCAGCCCUCGCAAUGGCUCUCAUCCACUACAAACGCCUCCCCUCGACAACCGCCGCCGCCGCGGGCACCUCCUCCCCGCCUCUUAUCCACUGGAAGCGCAAGGCUAAGGAGCGGAAGCGCGAGAUCCUCCGCCUCCGCGAAGAGCUCAAGCUCCUCCAAGAUGGGGUGCGAGGGGAGGCGAUGGAGCCGCCGGUUGCAUCAUGCCGCUGCCACUUCUUUGACGGGUGCAGCGACCUGCAGCCGCCGCCGCCAACGGGUGGAGGAGAACAUUGGGUCGACGAGGUGCUGCGGAGGAGGUUCCUCAGAUUGGCGCGGUGGAAGGAGAAGCGACGGAGACUGGAUCGAUCUCUUCCCGUCACUAGUUUGAUGGACUUCAAUAGCGAGGAUGAGAUACAACAGCUUAGCUUGUCAACUGAUUUCCUGGUGGAGCUAUCAGAUGGGAUUUUUGCGAAAAGAGAACCUUGCUCCACAUUUGGUACAUUCUCUCACCAAGCAGUAGACUUCAUUUUGGCUUUAUUGAAGAACAUUCUAUCGUCGAAAAGGGAAAAGGAACUGGUUGAGGAGAUAAUUGAUGGUUUAGUGACACGUUUGAUGAAAAGGAUGUGCACCAUUCCUGAAAAUGCUGGUACUUCAGAUUCAGGGCCAGUUGACUGCUCAGAUGCCCAAUUCAAUGUGCAGCACUUGUUCCGCAAGUUAGGAAAUGAAGAGUUCAUUGGUCAGCGGAUAAUCCUUGCAGUUUCUCAAAAGAUCUCAAAUGUAUCAGAAAGCUUGCUUCUCUUAGAUCCGUUUGAUGAUUCCUUCCCUGAUAUGCAUGGCAAUAUGUUCAUGUUGAUACAAUUAAUCGAGUUCCUCAUAUCUGAUUACAUGAAAAUUUGGCUAUGUUGCGAGCAAUUUGACAGAAAAAUAUUUGAAGAAUGGGUGAGAUCUAUUCUGAAGGCACGCAAAGACCUGGAAGUCCUAGAAAACAUAAAUGGGCUGUAUGUAGUGUACAUUGAGCGAGUGGUCGGAAGGUUGGCGAGGGAGGUGGCUCCUGCUGCUCACGAGGGAAAGCUGGACCUGGAUGUCUUUUCCAAACUCCUGUGCUGAUCACUUCCAGCCUCAGACUUGAAAAUGAUGCUUACCUACAGAAAGAUUGUCCAGAAAGCUGGCAUUCUGUAACAUCUGUUCGCCACUGAACAGCCAGAAUCAAGACAUAACCAAAGAAUGUUUAAUUAUGUCAUCUUGUGAGUGUGUAUUUACUGCAAACCAGUUUGCUAUAACCAAGAACUCUGGCAGUGCUCUGGGGCAUAGCGAGGACAGCAAGCGGCAUGAAAGAUAUGCGGGGGAAUAGUGUGAGCAUGCUCAAAUAGCAUUAGGUUGGAGACACAAAAAGUUUGGACAUGAGUAGAAGUGCUUCCGCUCUUGUUUGGGGAAAGAAUGAAGUUUCACUCCUCACCCUAAGGCAAGCAGAUGAACCCUAGCAAGCUUUAUUGUUCAAAUCAGUGUUUGAGGAGUUACAUCACCUUUCUA